rnacentral:lncRNA from 10 species
AAAUUUGAGAAGAUAAUACAGAAAGCUCAUAUACUUCAAGCUAUGGGAUGAAUUGUGUUCAACAAAGAAGGAAAGAACCUUUCCUGGCUGAAGUCAGAGGCUGAGGUCAGAGGAAGACGUGACUAUAGAAGAAUGAUCAUAGGAUUGCAAUAUUGCUGGUCUUGAAGACAGAGGAAGGAUGUGGGUUACAUCUAGAAACUGGAAAAGGUGAGGACCACACGUGGAAAAGGGAGGCUGAGAAUGUAAGACAUC